GGCCUAACACAUGCAAGUCGAGCGCGCCUUCGGGCGAGCGGCGGACGGGUUAGUAACGCGUGGGAACGUGCCCAGAUCUACGGAAUAGCCACUGGAAACGGUGAGUAAUACCGUAUACGCCCUUCGGGGGAAAGAUUUAUCGGAUUUGGAUCGGCCCGCGUUAGAUUAGGUAGUUGGUGGGGUAACGGCCUACCAAGCCUACGAUCUAUAGCUGGUUUUAGAGGAUGAUCAGCAACACUGGGACUGAGACACGGCCCAGACUCCUACGGGAGGCAGCAGUGGGGAAUCUUGGACAAUGGGGGCAACCCUGAUCCAGCCAUGCCGCGUGAGUGAAGAAGGCCCUAGGGUCGUAAAACUCUUUCGCCUGUGAUGAUAAUGACAGUAGCAGGUAAAGAAACCCCGGCUAACUCCGUGCCAGCAGCCGCGGUAAUACGGAGGGGGUUAGCGUUGUUCGGAAUUACUGGGCGUAAAGCGCACGUAGGCGGAUUAGAAAGUUAGAGGUGAAAUCCCGGGGCUCAACCCCGGAACUGCCUUUAAAACUACUAGUCUAGAGUUCGAGAGAGGUGAGUGGAAUUCCGAGUGUAGAGGUGAAAUUCGUAGAUAUUCGGAGGAACACCAGUGGCGAAGGCGGCUCACUGGCUCGAUACUGACGCUGAGGUGCGAAAGUGUGGGGAGCAAACAGGAUUAGAUACCCUGGUAGUCCACACCGUAAACGAUGAAUGCCAGUCGUCGGGUAGUAUACUAUUCGGUGACACACCUAACGGAUUAAGCAUUCCGCCUGGGGAGUACGGUC
rnacentral:rRNA from 1 species